ensembl:lncRNA
GGAAAAGAUCUGUAUGCUGGGUGACACCACAUGAAUUUGGAUCUAAAGCAAGAAGCAGGUUUUCAGGGAGACUGUUGUGCAGCGAUCUUUAACAGUCCACCAGGAAACAAAAGCAAGUUCCAGGACUGCAUCACUACACACAUUUCUGCGAUGGACUCCUCUGGCUCCGGACCUUCCCCUGAGGUGGCAGCAUCUGCUCCAGCUUUCCCUGAGUUGGUGGAGUCCACAUCCAAGACACGACUGAAGUGGUCGUAACCGAGUUCUGUGACAUGACCAAGGUGUUCGUCCCUGAGUUCCCUGUCACAGCCAGAAAGAUUGUCUCUGAGUUCCCUGUGCUUCCUAUCAUAGCUCUGAUGUGGCCUCCACUUCAUGACCCUGGAUGGUGCUAAGCAAGGACAUGUCCAGUUGUGAAGAUGCAGAACAUGGUGUCCCAUGAGAAGCAUUAAUGGUCUCUAAAUUAGAGUGACACAUUAAAUGACAUUGACUCAUCCAAAAUUACCAUGAACUUGUUUUCAUCUCUCAAUGCCGAACAACCUUGAACGGUUUUAGCAUCUGACAGGAGUCUCAUUCAUCUUUUAAUUUGUUACUAUACAAGGUUAAUUUUGAAGCUAUUUUUCUACAUACAAAAUUGCUCUCUGGGGAUUUUCAAGCACUAGACAAAGAGGAAAUGGUGAAAGGAUGUCCACUCAAGCCAAUAUUCCAGCUGCGGCAAACUGUUACUAGUAGAAAGGUUUGACCCUGAAGCCUGUUUUUUGUAACAUGAAUAUCAUGGAUGUCAUGCUGUGA